UGAUUCGAAGGAAGCUUCACUCUAUUGCACAAGGCACUCUCACAUGAGACUUCAAAUAAUCUUCCUCGGGAUAGAGAUUAGAAUGGUUACUUUGAAACUUGCUGAGACUUCAUCUGAGGGAUACGGAUCAUAUCAGAAUUGUCGAUACAUCUCAGGGUGAAAAGAUGAAGCAUCGAGUGGCGCACUCAAAUUUUGGUGGUGAAUUCUGCCUUCUGGUAGACUCGGCCAUGCGUUCCAAGUGUCGCUCGAUACAAGGAAGGAAGAACCACGCGAGGUGUAGUAAUUUUUCACCUCACUUGAGAAUGCAGGGACAGCGAUACUGCAGGUAUCGAAGCUUUUAAUAGUUAUCCUAUUUGUCGUACAGUAGCAAACGCAAACAUUUAAUGUCUUUGGUGAAAGAGUAACGACUCA